UUUGCUACCGCGUCUUCACGGUCCCAAAAAUAUAUAUUUAUAUAUAAUUUCAUCAAUUGGAUUAACGGUAGAUGUGAGAUUACAAGUUGUUUUUUGUUUAUCGGAGAAUUGGAUCGGGAGUUUUUUGGUUACCGGAGAUGGGGGAUAGGGAUUCUAUUACUACGGCGGGGGGACAGAAUUCGGUGGAACGAGAUUUUGUGGAAGAAGCUUCUAGAAUCGUUGAACAAGCUAAGGAGUUGCAAGACGCAGCUUCUUCUUUGAUCUCGAGAACUACCCGUGAAGAGGAUUCGUUAAGGCAGAAAGCGAAGUCGCUUGAUUCGUCCGUUCAGGGGCUUCGUUCAGCUGUAAGGAAAAGUAAAUUGGAUCCUAAUCAAGCUGAAAAGUUGGAAGAGGAAUUGUUUAAAGCUAGUUAUGUAUUGAGUGAGGGAGAUGCUGCAGCCUUUCUUCCGAGCAAAUCUCAUGGAGGGUUUUUGAGGAUGUUUUUGGGGCCAAUCAAUGUUCGUGCUAAUAGAAAGGAUGUGCAACUGAAAGUGAAAGAGGAAUAUAAUAGUUUCAGGGACAGGACAGCAUAUCUAUUCCUUCUUUUCCCAUCGGUGCUACUAGUUUUGAGGUCUUGGAUGUGGGAUGGAUGUUUACCAGCAUUGCCGGUCCAACUUUACCAGGCCUGGUUGCUUUACCUCUACACAGGUUUGGCUCUGCGAGAGAACAUUUUGAGAGCG
rnacentral:misc_RNA from 1 species